CCAGACUCCUACGGGAGGCAGCAGUGGGGACUCUUGCACAAUGGUUUGCCCCCUGAUGCCGCGCCGCCGCGUGGGUGCAGGAGUAUUUCGGUCUGUAAAGCCCUAUCAGCAGGGAAGCACAAUGACGGUCCCUGACUAAGAAGCCCCGGCUAACUACGUGCCAGCAGCCGCGGUAAUACGUAGGGGGCAAGCGUUAUCCGGAUUUACUGGGGGUAAAGGGAGCGGAGACGGUGCAGCAAGUCUGAUGUGAAAGGUCGGGGCCCAACCCCGGGACUGCAUUGGAAACUGUUGAACUGGAGUACAGGAGAGGUAAGCGGAAUUCCUAGUGGAGCGGUGAAAUGCGGAGAGAUUAGGAGGAACACCAGUGGCGAAGGCGGCUUACUGGACGGGAACUGCCGGGGAGGCUCGAAAGCGGGGGGAGCAAACAGGAGGAGAUACCCGAGUACG
rnacentral:rRNA from 1 species